rnacentral:lncRNA from 1 species
GGCUCAGUGCUCAGGAACUGCCCUGAGGGUAAGGGUGGGCAAGACAGGAUGAGAAGACCCGAAGAAAGCUAGAAGCCUGCAGGGGCUGGGGCCCGGCUAAGGGGUGAGAUGGGAGGAUUGUGACAAUUGGAGGACAGGAGAGGAAGAGGAAAGAUGAUCUUCAGGAUCUUCCUAAUACAGAAUCUGAGGGUGCACAGCUAUGAAGGAGGAAGAGAGGAAGAUAUACCAGAUUCUCUAUAUAAACUCCAAGUCUCCUAAUUUGGGGGUUUCUCUCCUGUGAUCCAAACUCACUGCCUGCACAGGAGGCACCUGGCUCUCAUUCAUGUUGCCCUGUGGAAUUGGGCUCGAGGAACUGGGACAAAGUAUAUAGAGGAUGCAGUGGAGGGCUCUGAGAUUCCAAAGGACAAGAAAGCCACUAGCUGGAAGAAACUUGGGUUCCUGAGUGAUGCGUGGAGCAGAGCAGAGCUUCCUCACCAACCUCCAUGUGAUGGGAGUGAGAAAUAAACUUGUUAACAUUUUUUAUUACAGCAGCUAGCUAACCCUGACUAGUACAUUGUAGAAUACUCGUAUGUCCUUUGCCUCUCUGGUAGCUUCUCUGACUCCUUCCUGGAAUCCUCUUCUUUCUCUCAUCACCUGAACAAAACUAUCCCCCUAAAAAUCAGAGCCCUUCUGACCACUUUCCUCUGGGUCAGCAAGUGACCUAGUCCUGAUCUCUCUUUUGAGCUCCAGAUGCUCAUCAGCAGCUUCUUAAGGUUAACUGUCUUGCAGUUGCAUGAAGAUGCAAACCUAAGUUCAUUUUCUUCCUCCCCAAACUGAUUCUCCUAACUUAUCUUUCACUGUCACUCACUCGUCACCAGGCUUCUCCUAGUCAAACUGGCAGUACAUCCCUGUGUGUUUUCAAUUCUUCCCUCUUUCUCACCAGCUACACCAGACAGAAGACCAUCACUCCUCUUUCCCCCACAUCCAUCCCCACGCUUCUGCUAUCCUCAUGGCCGUCUCUCUUCUCAAGCCAGGUGGUGGCACCUUAAGUCCUCUCUUCAAUGCCACUCUCUCUUCCUCAAGUUACAGCACCCUGGGCUAUGGCUCUUGUGUAGACUUCUGCAAUAGCUUUUUUUUUUCUAAUUAAGAAAUAUUUUAAGCACAUGGGGAAGUGUAGAGACUAAUAUAACUAACACUUGUACCUAUCACUCAGUUUUGUCAAUCCUUAAUAUUUUGCUGUAUUUGAAAAUGAAGGGAAAAAAACAAAAUUGCUUCAAAUCUAGGAGAUGAAAAGCUUAUGUUAUCUCUUUCAUUGUAUUAGGUGGAAUUUUAUAGUAAACUUACAUAACACUAAAA